UGGGAACGUGCCUUUCGGUUCGGGACAACCCAGGGAAACUUGGGCUAAUACCGGAUACGCCCUUCGGGGGAAAGAUUCAUUGCCGAAAGAUCGGCCCGCGUCGGAUUAGCUAGUUGGUGGGGUAAAAGCCUACCAAGGCGACGAUCCGUAGCUGGUCUGAGAGGAUGAUCAGCCACACUGGGACUGAGACACGGCCAGACUCCUACGGGAGGCAG
rnacentral:rRNA from 1 species